AUUGAACGCUGGCGGCAGGCCUAACACAUGCAAGUCGAACGAGUGGCGGACGGGUGAGUAAUGUCUGGGAAACUGCCUGAUGGAGGGGGAUAACUACUGGAAACGGUAGCUAAUACCGCAUACCAUCAGAUGUGCCAAGAGGGGAUGAGCUUGUUGGUGGGGUAACGGCUAACCAAGGCGACGAUCCCUAGCUGGUAUGAGAGGCUGACCAGCCACCAGGGAACUGAGACACGGUCCAGACUCCUACGGAGGGCAGCAGUGGGGAAUAUUGCACAAUGGGCGCAAGCCUGCUGCAGCCAUGCCGCGUGUAUGAAGAAGGCCUUCGGGUUGUAAAGUACUUUCAGCGGGGAGGCGUUACCCGCAGAAGAAGCACCGGCUAACUCCGUGCCAGCAGCCGCGGUAAUAC
rnacentral:rRNA from 1 species